rnacentral:rRNA from 1 species
UACGUAGGAGGCGAGCGUUGUCCGGAGUUACUGGGCGUAAAGGGUGCGCAGGCGGCUUGUUAAGUGGAUGGUGAAAUCUCCCGGCUUACCUGGGAGGGUGCCGUCCAAACUGGGAGCUUGAGGCUCGGCGGGGGGCGUGGAAUUCCGGGUGGAGCGGUGAAAUGCGUAGAGAUCCGGAGGAACACCGACGGCGUAGGCAGCGCCCUGGACGAGACCUGACGCUCAGGCACGAAAGCUGGGGGGAGCAAACAGG